CACGUAGAUGGCUUUGUAAGUCGGGUGUGAAAUCCCCGGGCUCAACCUGGGAACUGCAUUCGAAACUGCAUUGCUCGAGUGUGGAAGAGGGAAGCGGAAUUCCAGGUGUAGCGGUGAAAUGCGUAGAUAUCUGGAGGAACAUCAGUGGCGAAGGCGGCUUCCUGGUCCAACACUGACAUUCAGGUGCGAAAGCGUGGGGAGCAAACAGGAUUAGAUACCCUGGUAGUCCACGCCAUAAACGAUGAGAACUAGAUGUCGGGAGGGUUAGCCUUCCGGUGUUGCAGCUAACGCGUUAAGUUCUCCGCCUGGGGAGUACGGCCGCAAGGUUGAA
rnacentral:rRNA from 1 species